GGACUACACUGGAAAUGUGUGCAUCCAGGUUGAGGUAGUAGGUUGUAUGGUUUAGAAUGACACCCUGGGAGUUAACUGUACAACCUUCUAGCUUUCCUUGGAGCUCACUUGAACCAUCGAAGAAUCA
rnacentral:precursor_RNA from 14 species